GCGGGAGUAGCUCAGUUGGUAGAGCGUCAGCCUUCCAAGCUGAACGUCGCCGGUUCGAAUCCGGUCUCCCGCU
rfam:Sandaracinus amylolyticus strain DSM 53668, complete genome.